rnacentral:tRNA from 1 species
UUUUAGGAUGUAGCUCAGUGGUAGAGCAGCACUUCCCUAGCAUGCAUGAGGCCCUGGGAUCAAUCCCUAGAACUGAAAA